rnacentral:lncRNA from 1 species
CUGCAGUUUUUGUACAUUUUAAUACAUGGGUGUAAGUGGUUGUACAUCACUAGUGUACCACUUUUGCUGUUAAUCAAAGCCUGUGAACAAAUAGUACAGUAACUUGAAGAAUGAGCAUGUAAUGCGAUGCAGAUUCAUGUUACACUCCAGGACUGCCAUGUGAGAGAGUCUGCUAUACCUGGCCAAUGAGAUGAAGUUGUACCACUUCCAUCAGUCCAGACAUUUGUCAAAGAAGUGCAGUUUAUAAAUGACCAAGUGGAUGAAGCAGCCACACUCUCACCGGUCCAGAUAUUCCUCAAAGAAGAGGAAGGUGUAAGUAUUCAUGAAAUACUGACUGUCAGUUACACACUGAAGUAAU